rnacentral:lncRNA from 1 species
GAUACUGGUCUCUUUGAUUUCAUCGUGAUCUGCCAAGUUGGCUAUUUCAAUUUCUUCUAGAUUGGGUUUUUCGCGAUUCUUAAAUUCCUCCAUAUCUUCAACUAACUGUUCCUUGUCAUCGUCCUUCCGACUAUCAUCGUCCCCUUUAUUUUCUUCGUUUAGGCUUUGACAUGACAGAAUAUUGGCAGGUUUUAAGCUACUGUUACUGUAAUAGACAAACAAACUAAGUUAGAUGAUAAAAAAAGAACAAAAGAUAUGACUAGGAGCGUUUUAGAACUAACAUAGUUUUCCAAAUAAAUAAAGGCCUUUUCAUUAAAAUUUGAGAAAUAAUUACCAAACCAUGGCUUGUGACUUGCACAAAUACAAGCCCCCGCCUUUUUUGAAAGCAGUAAGAUACGAAAAUAAAGUUUUGAGAUAUAAAAGGUGGAUCGCGGGGCCUCCCCCAGAUCAUCACCGAUUUCAAAACUAUUAGUAAUUGUCCUUUCAUCUACCACGACAGGCGACGGGUUAUGAGUGGAGUGGAGGUUUAAUUUUGCAAAGCCUUCCCUGGAGCAAUCUGCUUCACCCCGCUGGACUCUAGGAGAUCUUCUGGUACAGCAUUGCAUCCUUCAAACAAAUCUCCUAUCCAUCCCUAAAACCAUCAUCAUCUAACAUCUCUCGUACGAGAAAUGACUGGAACAGGAGUGGCAAGGGCCUAAACAUACUCUUUUCUGGCUCAUUCUCAACCCUAUAUUUUCUGGUAGGCUGAUACCCUAACCCGUGCUUAGAGCUUCUCUCUGGGAUCAAAAUAGGCUCAAUAAUUCCUUAUAAAUUCUUGCCUAAGCCUCGAUCAAGUUUGAACCGAUUUCUUAAUAUCACAGUUGCAAUCAUUUUGUAGACAGAAGGCAUUGAUAUUUUGGGUGUCGAAUCUCUUUCCGCAGCGUUUACAAUUUCCACUGUAUAGAAACUAAUACCUUUUGGAACAUCUUCAAUCACUGGCACAGAACUAUUGGGACGGUCCGCUCGACUUCCUUCUCUUUGGAUGACUACUUCAUGAUCUUUCCAAAUGAACUUCAAUAAUUGAUGAAGGGGUGAUGAAAUUGCCUUUGCCCCGUGUAUCCAUGGUCUUCCCAAAAAUAGGUUGUAGCUAGGAUGGAUAUCCAUAACAUGAAACUUAGUCUUAAACUCAGCAGGCCCUAUUUGGAUGUGCAAAUCAAUCUCUCCCAUGGUAUCUCUCUGCCCUCCAUCGAAUGCUCUCACAUUUAUGUAGCUUUGACAAAUUUUCCCCCAGAUCAUAGCCCAUUUGGACCAACGUGGAGAGGGGAAAAAUAUUCACACCAGAUUCAUCGUCUAUUAAUACCUGAUUAAUUGUAUAAUCUCGACAAAUGACGAUGACAUGCAUGGCUUUGUUGUGCAUUGCUCCUUCAAACGGCAACUCUUCAUCAUUGAAUGAUAUGCGAUGGUUCCCCACAACGUUCCUUAUCAUCGCAGUCAAAUUCUCAAUGCUCAUUCCUGCGGGAACAUACGCUUUCUCCAAGACCUUCGACAGAGCCUAUCGGUGGUGUUGUGAGCUCAAUAAUAAUGCCAAGAUAGAAAUUUAGGCUGGCGUUUUCUCCAAGUGUUUGACAAUUUAGUAAUCCUUUGGUUGCAUACGCCUCCAAAAUUCCUCAGCCUCUCCUUCAGUGAUAGGCCUUUUCUGUGAAUCUUUCUUGUUGGUCAAUUCCUCAGGGAUGUAACAUCGUCCUAAUCACGUCAUUCCCUGGGCAGCAGCGAUUUGCACAAUAAAUUCCUUUUUUGGAGGGGGAGCGUACACUUGAGUCGGUGCAGUCAUCACUAUAAAUGGGGAUUUCUCAUUGAUACUUAGGGCAGCCAUAAAUUUCUCUAUCUUUCCUACCUCUUUCACCCUUUUGCACUUUUCGAAGUUCACCUGGGUAAUGAUCUUUCCAGAUGCCCAUUCGCCUUCUAUUUCAAUCAUGUUAACUGUAGAUCCCCCAUGGUUGGGCAGUGGAUUACUGAUAAUAGUUGGAGUAGGUGCCUGGAGCGUGAUGACCUUUUGAUUAAUCAGAUCUUGGAUUUUGUGUUUCAAGAUAAGACAGUCCUCGGUACUAUGCCCUGUUGCCCCUGAAUGAUAGGCAUAAUUUUGAUUAGGGUGAUAAAACUGGGAGCUAGGAUUGAUAGGCUUUGGCUGUACUGGUUGCAAAUCACCAACAUUCUUCAAUCUUUCAAACAAUUGGGUGUGACUUUCAACUAGUGAGGUGAAGUUUCGGGGAGGUUUCUUUUCGUGGUUUAGACGCUAGGGGUUAUACGGGCUUAGGUUUGUAGGAGGGGGUACUUGGUGGUAAUUUGGAGGUGUUUGGAAAUUUGUUCAGCUAUUUGGGGAGUAGUUUGGAAAUGAGACUGAUAAUUUAGAGGUGGAACUGGGAAUUGGGGAAAGAUAUUUAGCUGUGGAGCUUGGUAUAAUGGUGGGAUAUUUGGGAGUGGAGUUUGGUAUUGGGGGUGGACGUAGAAUGCGUGCGGAAAGUUAGGUGAUGUCGGGGAAGAUAAAAUGUUUCUAGAGUUGAACCGCUAUUUCAAUUUUGUAACAGAAUUGGCAGAAACCCUACCUACCUCUUCCUUCUUCUUCUUAGAAAAUAUGGCAGUUCCAGAUGAUGUCAGGGUUUUGGCAACUUUUCCUGUUCAAAUACCUUCCUCUAAUGAUUCUCCUAUUUUUACCAAAUCUGCAAAGGUCGCUCUGACAGCGGACACUAUUCUGUUAUAAUAUUCUCCUUCUUGAGCGCGACAGAACACGGAUACCAUUUCCUCCUUGAACAUGAGGGGCUACACUUUGGCAGCUUCUUUCUUCCAAGGAAAAGCAUAAUCUCAAAAACUCUCAAUGCUCUUUUGCUUAAUCCGAUCUAGUGAAUACCAAUCAGGGACUAUUUCAAUGUUGAAUGCAAACUGGUCAAGGAAACUCUUGGCCAAUGUCUUCCAACCAGUCCACCUUUUCAGCUCCUGAGACAUGAACCACUCCAAGGCUUCACCAUUCAAACUUCGACUGAAUAGGCGUAUUAAUAACGCCUCAUUUUUUCCUAUCCCUACUAGUUGAUCGCAGUACCUUCUUAGAUGGGUCAUUGGAUUUCCGGUACCGUCAAACAUCUUAAACUUAGGGACCUUGUAUCCUUCUGGUAGGUCUACUCCUGGGUGAACACACAAAUCGUCAUACCCCAAACCAUCGUGACCAUCGUGGUCCUUGGCCCCAUGAGACUCUUUGAUCCUCAUGAUCUCUUCUUGCACGGCUAGUAAAUUCCUUUCAUGCUGGGCCCUCCAUUCCUUCUCCUUCUCCUUGUAAUGGUCUAUCUCGGGGUUAGGAAGAGGUUCAUAAAUAUCAGGGGAUAUGAUGGCUUGAGGGGGAUUUGGAAGAAAGGCUUGAUUUUGCAGAUGGGGGGAAUUUAGUUGGUAAGUGAGGGGAAUGUUUUAGAAACUGGGAAGGUUAUGUGGGCCUUGUAAGUAGUUUGGCGGAAUAUAAGAGGGAUUUUCCGGAUUUGGAAAUAAAUUUGGUGGAUUCGAAGGUAGGUUUGCCGUAUUUUGUGGAUUUGGGAGUAAAUCUUGCGGAUUUAGGAGUAAAUCUUGUGGAUUUAGGAAUGCGUUUUGUUGAAUUGAGAAUAUGUUUUGAAGAUUUGAGAAUGGAUUCGAAGAUGGGUUCUGUGGGGUUGCGGAUAGAUUUUAUGGAUGGUAGGCGUCUGGAUUAUUUUCACGAUUAGUGUUUUGGACAAAUGGAGGAGCGGAGCCAGAUGAUACAUUAGUUGGUUGGUCCUCAAGAAUAGGGGUACUGAGGGGAGGGAUUUGGAGUGGAGUUCAGUGUCCCCCUAAAGCAGGGGCAUUGACGGUGAUGGCCAAGUUAGCCAAUUCUCGAGUGCGAUUUAUUUCCUCCUGAACCAAUUCUAAUUUUCUUGCAAGUUCCACAAUCAUCUUAUUCUGUUCCACUAUCACAUUAUCUCGGAUAGCCAAUGCGCUUUCUUUGUCAUUUUUUGUCAUUUUUGAAUGAUGGUCUGAGGGUGGGAUUUUUUGUGCUUUCGAUCGGGUGAAGUAGGGAUGUUCUGCCAGUUUAUCAACACUGAGUAAUUUCUAUUAUCUGCAAAGUAAAACAACUCAAAGAAAAAUGUGUUAGUUUCCGUAUGUGAUAAGUAACGCAAAAUAUUUGACUGGAAAUAAUCACACAGAGUUGUUCGAGUCAUAGCCAAAUUCAUCCGUAGUUCAUAGUGGAUAAACUUGCCUUUGAUCUCAACCAACGCAUAUAAGCACAUAAAAUAGUUAUAUCACACAAGACAUUAAAAUAACGCGUAUCCUAAUUUGGGUGAACCUUUAUGAGCUAAGGGUUCAGGCUUAACGAUUUUUUGAAGAAAAUAUAUGCUUCCUCAAAGUCAAAUCCAUUAACCCCUAACUCAUAUAGACACAAAAAGGGCAUAAAUUCCUAUAAAAGAUACCGAAACAGGGAUACAAUUUUUAGGGAAAAGAGGAAAUAACAUGAAAGAAGAUAGGUUCCUGCGCAGGGGAGAAUAGAAAAGCUAGCUACUGGAGGCUUCUUCGUCUGCUUUUGCCUUCUUUGCCUUGUUUACCUCAUGUGCUAUUUGAUACCUAUUGAUGAUAAGGUGACUCCAGCAUAAUUGUGCCUUGCAGUCGUAAGUUAUAUCUCCUAUGCUGUCGAGUUGGGAGGCCAUGCUAUAGUCCAAAUCGAUUAGGCAUUGCCUGGCAUCAUCAGCGUCUUGCCUAGCUCUUUUCAACUCUUCCCUUAAUGUAUGUAUGGUCAAAGCGUCUUCCAUGUGCAUCUGUCGGUGUGCAAUUUCACUUUUCUGGAACUCAUCUUGUAGCCUGUGAAGUCAAAUUUGAUGCUUGGAUUCUACAUCCACAACCCGAGUGGGCACAUUUGGUCCCGGAUUCAAUGCUCCGGCGAGGCUCUUUUUCAACCACUCCUUGUAAGUGUCGCUGACUUCAGGUUCAUACCCUAUACAGAAAGAGACUUCUACCCACUUUUUCCUUCUCCAUGCAUUUAUCAUGUAGUCUUUGAGCGAAGGUUUACUUUCAUCAUAUUCGGUAAAGAAUCUGAGCAUAGAAUCGAUUUGAGGCAUCUCCUGCUUGAUCUCGAAUUGCCUAAGAACUCUGCCAGGAUUGUAGGGGCGGGUUCCCCUGAGACCUGGGAGCACUAAAAAAGGCCAUUCUCUCCCUCGAAUGAUGUAUUUCCCUGAACGUAGUUAAGGGACCAUUGGACAUCGCCUUCUCUUAAUUCUCCAAGAGUAUUAAACCAAAAUUCGUGGGAUGCUUCCCUUUUGAACUUGUGUAAAAAUAACCAUAUGUCAUGCGAUUCUAGCAGAUUUCUCUUUGUUUUGUGAUCAGGUUGUGCCGUUCUAGGAUUUUUCACCAAAUGCAUCAUCAUCCACCAUUGUAAUAUAAGGUUGCAGCCUUGAAAGAAAUGAUUCUCGACUUGACAUCUUCCCAAAGUGCAAUAUAUGUCGGCGACAAUCAUGGGGGGCUAAGUUGUGGAAUACUUUUUUAGAAUUGUAUUCCAUUCCAAAGAAGAGUGCAUGGGUCACUGUGACAAACCUCGGAUGAAUUUUGCCAUUUUCCCCCUGCGGGAACACCAUGGUUCCAAGUAGGCCUACCAUAAAUGCAAAAGCUCUCAUUUCCUUCCAUUUUGCUUCCGACUCCAAUUUAUGCCCAAAUUUGUGAAAAGAGUUGAAUCUUCCGAACUGACGUACAACUCACAAAAAGUGAUAUUUGCUCUAUCCCGUUCUCCUAGCCAGGUGUUGUCAUCAGUUAAAAAUGUUUCCUUGAUCUUUUGACGAUUCCACACAUCUGGGACUAAAAUAUUCUUAUUUGGUGUCUCCUUUCUCUUAAAACACAUUUCCGUACUCUCGUAGCAAAUCAAUACCUCUUCAACGGUGGGGGUCAAUUCAACAUCCCCAAAGCAAAAUAACAUGUUCUGAUCAUCCCAAAAAGCUGUUAGUACAUGGAUCAUUUUGGGCCAAGCGUCCAUCUCGAUCAAAGAAGGAAGAUGCCCAAUGUGUGUUCUAACAAUCUUUCUCUCUUCUAUACCCAUGUAAUCCCACCAUAAUUUCAGGUAAUCGUCGGGUUUGGUGACCAUCUUGAACUUUUCACGAGAAUGCAAUUGAGUCAUAUCUACAUAAAAGAAGACAAAAUAAGCCUUUCCCCAACCCCAAAGGAUAAUGGAUUGAAUUUAGACAAGUAUAUAUUUCUUCAACACAUAAGCAUGGUUAGUCUGUGAUUGAAUCGGGGUCAAAUAGACAUAGGGAAGGUUUUCUAAUGGGCCCAAUACCCCGCUCGGAUAUUGGGUGGUCCUAGGCACAUGCCUAAAAUAGAGUUUUGAUUUCGUUCUAUCCUCGGUGUCUAGAGUGGGCUUGGACACUGGUUCUCAAAUGGACAACUUGAGUUUGAAAAUACGAACAACAUCAGACGACUCAUGUGCUGAUAAGCUGUUCGUAUUUCCAACACAUUUUGGAAUUGAACAACAAGGGCCGGGACAUCCACGAAACCCCAAAACAGUUUAUAAGAUGCAGGAAAUGCCAUGAGAUGCGAUAAUUAAACUUUACAUAAUCGAAACACACAAACAGUUAAUCAAAAAUGAAAUAAAACAUUUGGUUAGAACCUAGUUAGGUCCCUAGCAGAGUCGCCAUUUCUGUUUUGCGGAGAAAUUUUGACUUUUUGAGAAAGUCGCCACUUAAUUUUGAAAAGAAAUUAAGAAACCCUUAUAAAACACUUUAAACGAUCUAAAACAGAAAAAUCAUUUAAGUUAAGAGAUUUUGAGUAAGCGGUUCCUAUUAACAUUUUAUGGAGGUGUUAGGCACCUAAAACGUCCGCUAACUUGCGGUUAUCCGGACUGUUUGAAAAUCGUCUUUGACUAACUUUGAAAAAAAGUUGAUUUCUGCAAAGAAAAGCAAUUUUAGUGAUAUUUUAGUGUUUAUGCAAAACCAGUUUUUAGGCGACUUAGUUAGGGAAUUUAACUAAGUUCGCAAAGAAACAUGUAAAUAAGUAAACGAAAAGAAAAAGGGAGAAAAGUGGGGAAGUAGUGAUUUAGGCUUUCAAGCCCAAACCAUCGGCCCUGUCCUAAUCUAGUUGAGUUUUUGACCUAUUUUCACCUAUCCUAACUCUAUGUUUUUGAGCCUUUUAGCUCGAGUCUCGCUUCACCUGUAUUAAGUAGAAAUUUGACUUCGAAGCCCAAACAAAUAAUUGAAGGAAUAAAUAAAUAUGAAAAAAUAAAUAAUGACGAAAAAUAAAUAAAUAUAAAGGAGACACAGGUCUCGUCGCCGCUUCAAGAAUGGGACUUUAAUCUAUUCUUCUUCUUCGGAGUCAUGUACUAUGAGAUUAUCUCCUUAGGGCCUUCGAAAUCAACUUAUGAAGGAUGGGCCUCAAUGGCCCAUAAUGCAUAUGCAACGAGAAAAGGGCCCGUGUAGGACACGAGCACAUCCAUAUGCAAAAGAAAAGUCAAGCCAUUAAUAUGCAUCCUAAUGUCAAUAUUCAAACAAAUACUGAAUCAUCAUGUGUAAUGAAGACAUAUAAAAUUAACUAACCUUGUAAAUAUUGGCUAAGUUAACUACUGAUAGCAAAACCAACCCAACAAAUGAAAAUAAGUGUCAUAGAAUACUUUUAGCAGUUUUACGAUGAAUCUAAUCCGAUCUAUAGUAAGGUAAACUAAGCAGGCUAUCAAUCAAGCAAGUAAACUUCAAACAAAUUUGGAUUAGUGUAGCAAAACACCCUUAUAGUAGCCUCUGAACAUUCACCUCUUAAUUUUACAUUAAAUCUCCAAAUGAAAUAAACUGGUAAGAGCAUCAUAGACUAAAUAUUCUUGUAGCACAUCUGAAGAUACAAAAUAAAUAAAUAAAAAAUGCUAGAGUUUUCGGAAGGCUGAAAUAAACUCAUGGUUUCGCCUAAACGGACAAUAUAGUGAUAACAUGGCUGAAUUAAAUUCAUACAGGCAAUCCCUAAACUGAUCGGAAAUAAAUUGAAGAUUUUGAACAAAUUCUUCCCUUUACCAGAUUUAAUUCAUCACAAGAUCUUAUUAUUUGACUUGGAAAUGAUACAGUGAUUCAGCAUAGGGAUUUAAGCAUAUAAAGGGACUCUAAUAGGAUUUCCAUCUCUCUUUGACUGGUUAUUUAAAACCAUGUGUCCAAGGUCAUUGAGAUGUCAUCAACCUCACAACUUUAUUUCAUGAAUAAAUCCAUUUUUUCCCAUGGAUAUCGAAUUAAGGGCCCUAAUGGACCAUCAUUUUACGUAUAAUCACAGAGACAAAACAUGAGAGGGGCACGUGGAUAGACGAAGAUAAAAUGGGUAAACUUAUUAGGACCCCGUUGGGCAAAUAAAAUAAUGGAGACUAAUAGAAACAAGCAUAAACAUGGCUGAUUCUAGGCAGCAAAAAUAAGCAAAUAUUUUUUACAACAAUUGUGCGGCAUACGGUGAGUGAUUGCGGACAGAUAGAUAGUAAUCCUACGGUGAAUGACUUGCCUUAUGAAUCUUUGCUAACAUCAUUACAGUGGUGAUAAAAAUGAAUAGACGACACACAGAUUCGAAAAUGGCACAUAAUGGCUUUAGAUGUUUGUGAGAGAAAAAGAGGAAAAAAUAAAUAAAUUUGGGAAUAAAUAGCUUUAAGGGGGAAACAGAUACAAACAAAUCUCAUUUAGGGGUAAAUCCGAAAUGUAAUCUAAUAAACCAUGCUAAACAAAUUUUAAACAAUUUUUUGCAAGCUAAGACUUUUAAUACAACCAAAUCAAGGAAAUUAAACACUGUUAGGAUACUCAACAUAAGGAGGAAUAUUCAACAUCACGAGCGAUAAUCACUUGAAAAAGAAGAAAAUAAAAACCUAAGGCGUUCAACAGCUUCUACAGCAACAAAUCUCACCUCAUUCAUGCUUACGACUAAACUAAUGUUGCCACAAAGAAGAGAGACGAAGAAGGAAACAAUAGAUUAAAAGUUGAAGGAGUGGAUUUACCUCUUUAAAAGCAGCAAACGGGACUCGAACCUAUAACAAAAGCUCAACCACCACCACUAGAAGGUUUUUGAAGAGAGGUUUGUUCACUCGAACCCAGAUAGCUCAGAAAAGAUUUUUCCUUCUUCAGAUUUUCCCAACCCUAGAACCUCUUUCGGGGCAGCAAACGGGGCGAUGAUCUAUCAGCAAACUUGUCGCUACCAGAACUCGCGACGUCGACCACCAACAGAGUGUUCUUUUGCUUUUUCCUCUUAGAAAUUUUAAAACCUCCCAGAUUUUCAACUAAGACUUUCAACUUGAAUUAAAAAAAAAUCCAAAAAAUUUUCCUCUCUCUGUUUCUGAAUCAAAAACUCACUCAAAAAAUUUCCCUUUUCAACCCUCGAAUCUCUCCCUAGCAAUUUCAAAAACCUAAAAUUUCUAAGAAACAGAAUUUGAGUUCCCAAAUCUUUUUCUAAACAAUCAAAUUUCUGACCCUUUUUCUUAAUUCCCCAAUUUUGAGACUCUAAUUUUCGAACACAGACUUUCGAACCAGCCUAAAAAAAGUUUUUUCUUCUUCAGUUCUUUUUUUUUUUUCAAAACCUAGAAUCUCUAACCCUUAAUUUUUUUCCCCUUUCUUGCUCUAAAGAGGACUACUUAUAGAAGGGAUUGAGGGUUAAAUUUUUGAAAUUCAAAAGAUCAAGGCCCUAACAAAUUGUAACCCCCUAUUUUUGGAUUUUUUCUUCAACAAAUCUGAAAUUAUGGACCAAUAACAAUCGGGAGAAAAUCAAAUCAUACCCCAAACCAAUGAAAAUCAACCAGAUAGGUACGAAUUCGUACCAUGGUACCCAAGAUUCACGGAUUCGUACCUUGGAUGAUCACACCUAAUCGAUAUUCUAGAAUGAUCUCAAGCCUUCUUUGCAGAAACUCGCAUGAGAUGCGUGGAGAAGGGUUGGGUCAAAUCAAUUUCAUGACUUUUGGGUUGAGGUCGAGAUGACGAUAUUGAAGGUGUCUGAUGUUGAUCGAUGUUGUUGGGGAUGGGUUUCAGAGCUGGGUCAGGUUCAAGGUGGUUGGGUUGGGUUCGUGGUGUUGUCGAUGAAGGAGGUUGUCGUGAUUUGGAAUUGUGCAUAUGCUGUUGGUGUUGC